CCCGCCAUUGCGCUCCAGCCUGGGUGACAAGAGUGAAACUCCGCUUCCAAAACAAACAAAAACAAACAAUAAAAACAGUGCCCAGGAGCUAUGGAAUAAUAACAAGCAGUCUAACAUACAUGUAAUAAAAGUCUCAGAAGGAGAAGAGAAAACAGGAAAGAAUAUUUUAGGAGAUAAUGGCAAGGAAUUUUUCAGAAAUAAUAACAAAACAUCAAACCACAGAUCUAACCAGUUUAGAGAACCCCAAACAGGAUAAAUACCAAAACCAAUUAAAGCAGCCAGAGGAAAAAAGAAACAGAAGGACAAAGUUAAGAAUUAUAGUGGAGUACUCAUCAAAAC
rnacentral:lncRNA from 10 species